UUAAAUCUAUGGUCUAUAGAGUUUGGUAAUAAAAGAAACAAUAUUUCUCCAAUCCAUCAUUUCUCCAAUCCAUCAGGCUCCUAUUCUUCAGACAACUUUCCUCAAGUCCUUGGCAGGAUACACGCAAGACUAAGAACUUAUAAUUCUCCAGCAGGGGAGGAACAUUCCUGAUAAUGGGUUUUGUUUUUCACCACCUCAUGGACGCUUUUUGGAUGCUUCAUUGAUAAAUUGGCUGAUUUGGACAACUCCUUUUGAGAGGGGAGGAAUGGAGGUGAUGGUAAGGGGUUUCAACAAUAAACCUGAAAACAGGAAGAACCUGAUUUUUGGAUGGCAACUUUGUCCAUCAGGUUCAUCUAAACAGCAGUUCAGUGUGCUGCCUCUGCGUACACUCAAUUUUGGUUCAGGACUUGGGAUAAGUAAGCAUUCUUGCUACUAUUUCACACCAAUGCACCCCAUCCCAUUAAUUGAAAUAAAGUGAGAAAGAGGCCCAGAAGCUGUGGUCUUUGCCGGCAUUCCUUAGACCAUUUUGGUUUCCUUAUCUGGACCACUAGCAGCAUCCAGAGGUGUGUGGCUAGAAGGUCACAACAUAAUUUCAAAGCUGAAAUACAAAACUUUUUUCCCAGAACAUCUUCCUAGGCUGGAGAAGAAAAUGCUUAUGAUUUGUUUUCAUUUGUUCUUUCCUAUUUUUUUUUCCAACUGCAGCUGACAUACAUGAUUGGUUAUUAUUUAUUUCCAUCUCAUUCUGGGUUCUGAAAGUUUCCCCAAGGCACUGGUGUGUGUGAACUUUCAGAUUUCACUUGGGAAUGGCUGGCCUCAUCCCCUCUGCUCCACUGGGAUCCCUGGUGAAGAUUUCUAAGAGACUUGUGUCCAGAGAUAAGACUGAGAUCCCUAAUGGAGCAGGUGACUCAGGACACUGUGAAGAAGUCCAGCGACAAGGACCGGGCUUACAUCAAAGACUGGUUAAGUCAUAUGCUGAUUUGUAUUAUCCUAGCAUUAAA